rnacentral:tRNA from 1 species
GAAAUAUGAAGACCGAAUGUAAGCUGCUAACUUAACAUUCUAGCGGUUUAAUUCCGUUUAUAUUUCU